rnacentral:rRNA from 1 species
AUUGAACGCUGGCGGCAGGCCUAACACAUGCAAGUCGAGCGAGCGGCGGACGGGUGAGUAAUGUCUGGGAAACUGCCUGAUGGAGGGGGAUAACUACUGGAAACGGUAGCUAAUACCGCAUACCCUCAGAUGUGCCCAGAUGGGGUUAGCUAGUAGGUGGGGUAACGGCUCACCUAGGCAACGAUCCCUAGCUGGUCGGAGAGGAUGACCAGGCACACUGGAACUGAGACACGGUCCAGACUCGUACGGGAGGCAGCAGUGGGGAAUAUUGCGCAAUGGGCGAAAUCCUGAUGCAGCCAUGCCGCGUGGGUGAAGAAGGCCUUCGUGUUGUAAAGCACUUUCAGCGGGGAGGCGUUACCUGCAGAUGAAGCACCGGCUAACUCCGUGCCAGCAGCCGCGGUAAUAC